rnacentral:lncRNA from 1 species
CUGGGCUUACUACAAAUCUUCUCAGUGUAGGGCAACUACAAGAAAAGAAAGUAACUAUUGUAUUCAAAAACAAUAUGUGCAAGGGAUAUCAUGAUGAAAAGGGACUGAUAUUCUCCACUCAAAUGACUGCAAAUAGAAUGUUCUUGAUCACAGCACCAGUUAUAGUUCCAAUGUGUAUGCAAUUCUCUAAACAAGAAAAAACUCAACUGUG